CCUACGGGGGGCAGCAGUGAGGAAUAUGGCGCAAUGGGGGCAACCCUGACGCAGCGACGCCGCGUGAGUGAAGAAGGCCUUCGGGUUGUAAAGCUCUGUCGGAAGGGAAGAACGGUUCAGGUGUUAAUACCAUCUGGAUUUGACGGUACCUUCAAAGGAAGCACCGGCUAACUCCGUGCCAGCAGCCGCGGUAAUACGGAGGGUGCGAGCGUUAAUCGGAAUUACUGGGCGUANAGGGCGCGUAGGCGGCCCUGCAAGNCAGUUGNGAANGCACACGGCUCAACCGUGGAUGUGCAAUUGAAACUGCAGGGAUUGGGUACCGGCGGGGAAGAUGGAAUUCCCGGUGGAGAGGUGAAAGUCGUAGAUAUCGGGAGGAAUACCGGUGGCGAAGGCGAUCUUCUGGACGGAUACUGACGCUGAGGCGCGAAAGCGUGGGGAGCAAACAGGAUUAGAUACCCUUGUAGUC
rnacentral:rRNA from 1 species